AUGUGUUUUGUAUCAUGUGGACUGAUGUGUUUUGUAUCAUGUGGACUGAUGUGUUUUGUAUCAUGUGGACUGAUGUGUUUUGUAUCAUGUGGACUGAUGUGUUUUGUAUCAUGUGGACUGCUGUGUUUUUACUGCCUUGUAUAUUAUCUUGCAGUUUUAAAGCUGAUUUCCUGCGAUUCACCAUUGCUUAUAUCCUGUUCAUAUUAUUAUUUAUUUUUGGGUUGGGGCCCUCUGGAGGUUAGGGCCCCCUAGAGGUUGGUGGCUCCCUGGAGGUUGGGGCCCCCUGGAGGUUGGGGCCCCCUGGAGGUUGGGGGCCCCCUAGAGGUUGGUGGCUCCCUGGAGGUUGGGGCCCUCUGGAGGUUGGUGGCUCCCUGGAGGUUGGUGGCUCCCUGGAGGUUGGUGGCCCCCUGGAGGUUGGGGCCCCCUGGAGGUUGGGGGCUCCCUGGAGGUUGGGGGCCCCCUGGAGGUUGGGGCCCCCUGGAUGUUGGGGGCCCCCUGGAGGUUGGUGGCCCCCUGGAGGUUGGGGGCCCCCUGGAGGUUGGGGGCCACCUGGAGGUUUACCUGUAAAAAUACAGGUAAAACAAGCUGUAUGUCCUGGAUAAUAGUGGGCCCUGACAUGAUUGACACCUUGAUAAAUGAUUGACACCUUGAUAAAUGAUUGACACCUUGAUAAAUGAUUGACACCUUGAUAAAUGAUUGACACCUUUGAUAAACUGCUCAGAUAAAGAGAUUUAGUUUAAAACCUCGGACCUCUACAGAAGAUUUAGUUUAAACCCUCUUAAGGACCUCUACAGAAGAUUUAGUUUAAACCCUCUUAAGGACCUCUACAGAAGAUUUAGUUUAAACCCUCUAGGACCUCCUCUUCUCUCUACAGAAGGGGCAGAUCCUUAAAGUCGUCUUUUUAUUCACACCUGUUUUCAGUACAUUUCAAUUCAAUUCAAAUUACUUUAUUGGCAUGACUUAACAAUGUACAUAUUGCCUUUCAAUACCACACCUUGUGAGGAUAACGGCAAUGAGCCUUUUUCUAAAAUGCUUUAUUAGUUGGAGAACACAUUAGGAGGGAUUGUGGCCCAUUGCCCUCUUCUAUUCAAACCACCAGUUUCCAAUGGGUUUUCAGUCCGGAGACUGAGGUGGCCAUUGCAAAAUGUUGAUUUUGUGGCCAAAUAACCAUUCAUUUGUGGAUUUUGAUGUGUGCAGAGGCAACCAUUUUUUUGGCUAAAAUGUCCUGGUACUGGAUAAAAGUUCAUGAUGCCGUUGACCUUACCAAGAGCCCCGGACCAGUGGAGCAAAAGGAGCCCACAGCUACUGUAGAACAUGCUGGUGGAUCUGUAAUGUUAUGGGGCUAUUGACCUUCCACUGGUCCGGGGCCCUUGGUAAGGUCAACGGCAUCAUGAACUUUACCCAGUACCAGGACAUUUUAGCCAAAACACUUUUUGGGUUACUACAUGAUUCAAUAUGUGUUAUAUCAUAGUUUUGAUGUCUUCACUAUUAUUCUACAAUGUAGAAAAUAGUAAAAAUAAAGAAAAACCCUGGAAUGAG